GUCCGCCGGACUCGGAAUGGGGCGAGACUUUGCGAGGGGCCUCGGGGUGCCAAAAAUAAGCCGCGGGCAAAGCCGCGCCCAAAAAUAAGCGCCCGAAGGCCGUGGUGCCAAAACCCCCCAGCGGAAAAAUGGCCAAAAAACGGGUGGGCUAUAGACUUGGUGGGGGGCGCGGGCGAAGUUCGUCCGCCGGACUCGGAAUGGGGCGAGACUUUGCGAGGGGCCUCGGGGUGCCAAAAAUAAGCCGCGGGCAAAGCCGCGCCCAAAAAUAAGCGCCCGAAGGUCGUGGUGCCAAAACCCCCCAGCGGAAAAAUGGCCAAAAAACGGGUGGGCGAUAGCCUUGGUGGGGGGCGCGGGCGAAGUUCGUCCGCCGGACUCGGAAUGGGGCGAGACUUUGCGAGGGGCCUCGGGGUGCCAAAAAUAAGCCGCGGGCGAAGCCGCGCCCGAAGGUCGUGGUGCCAAAACCCCCCAGCGGAAAAAUGGCCAAAAAACGGGUGGGCUAUAGCCUUGGUGGGGGGCGCGGGCGAAGUUCGUCCGCCGGACUCGGAAUGGGGCGAGACUUUGCGAGGGGCCUCGGGGUGCCAAAAAUAAGCCGCGGGCAAAGCCGCGCCCAAAAAUAAGCGCCCGAAGGUCGUGGUGCCAAAACCUCCCAGCGGAAAAAUGGCCAAAAAACGGGUGGGCUAUAGCCUUGGUGGGGGGCGCGGGCGAAGUUCGUCCGCCGGACUCGGAAUGGGGCGAGACUUUGCGAGGGGCCUCGGGGUGCCAAAAAUAAGCCGCGGGCAAAGCCGCGCCCAAAAAUAAGCGCCCGAAGGCCGUGGUGCCAAAACCCCCCAGCGGAAAAAUGGCCCAAAAACGGGUGGCUAUAGCCUGUUGGGGGCGCGGCGGAAUGUUCUUCCGCCGGACUUCGAAUGGGGCGAGACUUUGCGAGGGGCCUCGGGGUGCCCAAAAAAUAAGCCGCGGCCAUAGCCGCGCCCAAAUAAUAAGCACCCCGAAGUGUUGUGGUGCCAAAACUCCUCCAGCGGAAAAAUUGUGCCAAAAAACGGGUGGGCUAUAGCUUGGUGGGGGGGCGCGGGGCGAAGUUUGUUCCGCCGGACUCGGAAAUGGGGCGAGACUUUGCGAGGGGCCUCGGGGUGCCCAAAAAAUAAAGCCGUGGCCCAAAGCCGGCGCCCCAAAAAAUAAGCGCCGAAAGGUCGUGGUGCCAAAACCCCCCCAGCGGAAAAAAUGGCCAAAAAAACGGGGUGGGGCUAUAGCCUUGGUGGGGGGCGCGGGCGAAGUUCGUCCGCCGGACUCGGAAAUGGGGCGAGACUUUUGCGAGGGGGCCUCGGGGUGCCAAAAUUAAGCCGCGGGCAAAGCCGCGCCCAAAAAUAAGCACCCGAAGGUCGUGGUGCCAAAACCCCCCAGCGGAAAAAUGGCCAAAAAACGGGUGGGCUAUAGCCUUGGUGGGGGGCGCGGGCGAAGUUCGUCCGCCGGACUCGGAAUGGGGCGAGACUUUGCGAGGGGCCUCGGGGUGCCAAAAAUAAGCGGCGGGCAAAGCCGCGCCCAAAAAUAAGCGCCCGAAGGUCGUGGUGCCAAAACCCCCCAGCGGAAAAAUGGCCAAAAAACGGGUGGGCUAUAGCCUUGGUGGGGGGCGCGGGCGAAGUUCGUCCGCCAGACUCGGAAUGGGGAGAGACUUUGCGAGGGGCCUCGGGGUGCCAAAAAUACGCCGCGGGCAAAGCCGCGCCCAAAAAUAAGCGCCCGAAGGUCGUGGUGCCAAAACCCCCCAGCGGAAAAAUGGCCAAAAAACGGGUGGGCUAUAGCCUUGGUGGGGGGCGCGGGCGAAGUUCGUCCGCCGGACUCGGAAUGGGGCGAGACUUUGCGAGGGGCCUCGGGGUGCCAAAAAUAAGCCGCGGGCAAAGCCGCGCCCAAAAAUAAGCGCCCGAAGGUCGUGGUGCCAAAACCCCCGAGCGGAAAAAUGGCCAAAAAACGGGUGGGCUAUAGCCUUGGUGGGGGGCGCGGGCGAAGUUCGUCCGCCGGACUCGGAAUGGGGCGAGACUUUGCGAGGGGCCUCGGGGUGCCAAAAAUAAGCCGCGGGCAAAGCCGCGCCCAAAAAUAAGCGCCCGAAGGUCGUGGUGCCAAAACCCCCCAGCGGAAAAAUGGCCAAAAAACGGGUGGGCUAUAGCCUUGGUGGGGGGCGCGGGCGAAGUUCGUCCGCCGGACUCGGAAUGGGGCGAGACUUUGCGAGGGGCCUCGGGGUGCCAAAAAUAAGCCGCGGGCAAAGCCGCGCCCAAAAAUAAGCGCCCGAAGGUCGUGGUGCCAAAACCCCCCAGCGGAAAAAUGGCCAAAAAACGGGUGGGCUAUAGCCUUGGUGGGGGGCGCGGGCGAAGUUCGUCCGCCGGACUCGGAAUGGGGCGAGACUUUGCGAGGGGCCUCGGGGUGCCAAAAAUAAGCCGCGGGCAAAGCCGCGCCCAAAAAUAAGCGCCCGAAGGUCGUGGUGCCAAAACCCCCCAGCGGAAAAAUGGCCAAAAAACGGGUGGGCUAUAGCCUUGGUGGGGGGCGCGGGCGAAGUUCGUCCGCCGGACUCGGAAUGCGGCGAGACUUUGCGAGGGGCCUCGGGGUACCAAAAAUAAGACGCGGGCAAAGCCGCGCCCAAAAAUAAGCGCCCGAAGGUCGUGGUGCCAAAACCCCCCAGCGGAAAAAUGGCCAAAAAACGGGUGGGCUAUAGCCUUGGCGGGGGGCGUGGGCGAAGUUCGUCCGCCGGACUCGGAAUGGCCCCAGACUUUGCGGGCGGCCUCCGUGUGCCAAAAAUAGGCCACGGG
rnacentral:lncRNA from 1 species